GACGAACGCUGGCGGCGUGCUUAACACAUGCAAGUCGAACGAUGAAGCUGGAGCUUGCUCCGGUGGAUUAGUGGCGAACGGGUGAGUAACACGUGAGCAAUCUGCCCUUGACUCUGGGAUAACUGCGGGAAACUGUAGCUAAUACCGGAUACGAGACCUGAAGGCAUCUUCGGGUCUGGAAAGAAUUUCGGUCAAGGAUGAGCUCGCGGCCUAUCAGCUUGUUGGUGAGGUAAUGGCUCACCAAGGCGACGACGGGUAGCCGGCCUGAGAGGGUGACCGGCCACACUGGGACUGAGACACGGCCCAGACUCCUACGGGAGGCAGCAGUGGGGAAUAUUGCACAAUGGGCGGAAGCCUGAUGCAGCAACGCCGCGUGAGGGAUGACGGCCUUCGGGUUGUAAACCUCUUUUAGCAGGGAAGAAGCGAGAGUGACGGUACCUGCAGAAAAAGCACCGGCUACUACGUGCCAGCCGCCGCUGUAA
rnacentral:rRNA from 1 species